CUCCAGCCUUUUAUAGGAGUCAGAGCUCCCACAAUGCACUGCAAUAUUCCCUUUAAAUUCCAGGAAGUGCUGCUGGCCUGCCUCUUAGAGGUGCAAGCCACCACACCCAGCUAGAUCAGAGGGCCCUCUGAGAGGCCUCCCCAUCAAUAUCUGCCUGAAAAUACUGCUGGAUGGAGCACUGCAUCAACUUGUUAAUGUGGCCCCUGUGCCAAGAGCCUGUAUCCCUGUCAAUUGACGACCUCACCAAGCAAGUGGAUCUUCAAGUCUGUGAUAAGAUCUCACCACCUCCAGCAUAAUGUACCUGAAGGAAGCAGUGUUGGUUUAUCUUUCCUUCUCCUGAUUAUGUCUGCAUGUAACACUGGGCUGGGGCACUUUUGUACCAAAAGAAUUUUGUAAUCCAGUAACAUGAGUUUUGUAAAAUUGUUGUUGCCUGUGUAAUGCAUGUUAUAUAUAUAUAUAUAUAUAUACUGUAGAGAGAGUGUGCUAAAGAAAUAUGUAUCCCUGACUAUACAGACUCCCUUUGCACUGUAUGAAAACAGAUAUGUAAAAGAUUAAUUUACCUUCUGUUCUAGUUACAGAAUAUUGCAUUUACUUAGUAAUUACAAUAUUUAAUGAUGCCAUUGUAAUAUACAGUAUCACAGUAAUGUACAUUUUUUCCCCAAUGCCUUUUCCCAAACUAGGACAGGCUAAAAGCACACUAUUUUUGUUCAAGACCUCUCUGGAAUAAUGUCUUGUUUAGGUUUAAUUAUAAGAGCAGAAAAUACACAUCUGCCUGCUAAUAUUAGCAUUCACACCUACAUACAAACAACCUGAAUUGUAUUCUGAUGAUUUAUUGGCUACCCUUAAGUAAUAUGCCAGAUCCCAUUAUUUGCUGGAGUCUAUUAGUGUCAUAUAAAAUUUGCAUAAUAGUGAUUGUCUCUGAAGUUUGAAAGUUAAAAAGGGCAAUAUCUUGGAAUUUGUUUAUUAUAAAUCUGUGUUUAAAUUACA